CACUCUCCUCUCCCGUCUGACCAGCACAUACUUGCACACUGUGGUGGCUCCCGCUGCAGGCCGGCCACGAGGCUGGCAGGUCCUUGGUUGUCUAUGGCCCACUUGUACAGUGCACCAGAUGGUAGGUCUGUGACAUGGUGGUCAGAAGGCGUGUGUCUGUUUUCUCUCUCCUGUGCUGCUCUGUGUGGUGGUAGGUAUGGUUCUGGGUAUCUAAGGUCUAUUUGUGCUGUGGGGCAGAGGGCAUGGCUGUGUCUUCCACCCAUGUUGUGUGGCUUGGUGGCAAGUUGGUGUCGAUGGCUUGCCUGUGCUGUGUGCUGGAGACGGCAGGUCUAUGGGUGGCAUGGCUGUCUGCUGGUCUCUGUAUGUCUUCUUCCUUUUGUGCUUCACAGCUUGGGUUUGAUUUGAUUUGGGCUUUAUAAAUCCUAGGCAUAAGGCAUCUUUGCACACCAAGCCAGGCAUCAAGCUAGGAUGAACAAAGGAUUGCCAUCUACUCUACCCCUGACGAUGAAUUCUUGCUGUUGAUUGCAAGUUAGCUGCAGUGUGAACUGCAGACUGAGAAAGAGUCAAGGAACUGCCACCUACCUUGGACCACAAGGUCUGCUGGAGGCAGAAAUCAGGAGGUGCGAUAAGGAGACACAAGCCCUUUAAAAUGCACAGUCAAUUAGAGUGUCCCCGAAGACUCUCUCAAGUUUUCCUUAAAGAGUCUGGCGAGUUGCAGAAGCUCGAGGCCCAGCCAAUCUUACUUCGUCUCUGCUCUCUCCUGUUUAAAAUACCAAAUUAUUUUGCAGUGCUGAGCUGGUGGUUGCCAGCUGAAAUUUUAAGUGGAAUUAAUGACCAGAGCUGAUGUCUGGAAUCCACAAAUAGGCCAGGACUGCAGCACAUCCAAGGUCACUGAACCUGGAUGAGUAAUGCUAAUAGCUGUGGAAAAAUCCAGAGCAAACAGAAAAAAACCCGUGUGUGCAACUGUGAAAAGAGGACUUGUGUCGCUACACCAUCUGGGACGACUAUUUACCUUCGAAGUAAUUACACUUGAGUGGCCUCCAGGUUGAACAACUGAAGUGACUCAACAGAGAAUUGCGAAAGGGGGAACAAAAGGAAGUGUGGUGCUUUAAGGUCAAUUGUGGAAUCUUUUAACUUAUAUACUUUUUUUACAUAAUAAAUAAUUUACUUU
rnacentral:lncRNA from 1 species